rnacentral:rRNA from 1 species
CAGCAGCCGCGGGAAUACGAAGGGUGCAAGCGUUAAUCGGAAUUACUGGGCGUAAAGCGUGCGUAGGCGGUGAGUUAAGUCUGCUGUGAAAUCCCCGGGCUCAACCUGGGAAUGGCAGUGGAUACUGGCUAGCUAGAGUGUGUCAGAGGAUGGUGGAAUUCCCGGUGUAGCGGUGAAAUGCGUAGAGAUCGGGAGGAACAUCAGUGGCGAAGGCGGCCAUCUGGGACAACACUGACGCUGAGGCACGAAAGCGUGGGGAGCAAACAGGAUUAGAUACCCCUGUAGUCCCUGUCUCUUAUAC